UUGUGUGCGCGUGAAGGCCUGAGGUUGACAUCAGUUAUCGUCCUCAAUUGCUCUCCACCUUCUCUGUUGCAGUAGAGUCGAUUGAGGCUAAAGCUCACUUGUGGCUGCUCUGCCUUCCUGCUUCCCUCUGAGCCUUUGGAUCCCAGCUGGGCCUCACACCUGCCUGGUAUUCACACGGGUGUUCAAGAUCCAAACUCAGGCCCACAAGG
rnacentral:lncRNA from 1 species